rnacentral:lncRNA from 1 species
AGUGGCGGCGCGGCGGGGACCGAGAGCUGCGGGCGGGCUGGAGGUACCCCACCGCGGGGUGGUGCUCUGACUGCGGGAACCGUUGAAGAGCUGCCCCCGGGGAGUCAGCGAGGCGCCACUGGUCUCUUAGACAUCUUCUCAAGAUUAUGCUAAGAGAAAUGACUGCACCCUUUUCCUGAGCUAUGGCAGUCAGACCUGGCAGUGGUAACUACUCUACAGAACUCCCAAACCUGGCAAGGAUGGUGCAGAUUUUGGCAGAUUAUGGCUUUGUCCCCACCCAGCACUGAUGAUAUUAUAAACAGACCUAUACUACAAGAAAUGAUAAUGGAAGUUCUUCAACUGAGCAAGAAAUGAUAUUAACAGAAAACUUGGAUCUUCAGAAGCAAAUGAAGAACAUCAGAAAUGCAACUUUCAUUGUUAGAGAGAGGAGAGAGAGAGAAGCCUUGUUGGUUGACGUCACUUGGUUCAUGAAGCCUUCGCCUAGAAGUGAAGCUGCUGAACAAACCUUGAGAAGAAUCAUCUCCUGCUUCAAUCUGCUGCUGGAUAGGAACUAAUCAGAGAGAGAGAGGCGGAAGACGGAGAAGGAGGGAGUCGAAGGCUUUCCCGAUCACAAAUCUCACCUCCACUACAACUCUCUUUAUACUUUUCUUGCAGAAAUAAUAAUAGAAAUAAGGAGGUGGUGGGGUUUCCAAAAAUCUUAACCUUCAACCAUCUGGGGAAAAGGCAAAAAUCCCAUCUACCGCAACUCUCAGUUCGAGAGUAAAGUUCCUUCGGAUGAAUGCAGAAGACAAGCAGACUGCUGGACUGCCAGUAACGGGCAUAUCCAUAAGGACAAAAAGGAGGGCCAGGCGUGGUGGCUCAUGCCUGUAAUCCCAGCACUUUGGGAGGCCGAGACAGGCAGAUCACUUGAGGCCAGGAGUUUGAGA